UUUUGCGCUUGCUGAAAGUCUAGGUGGUUACGAGAGUCUAGCUGAGCACCCUGCAAUAAUGACUCAUGCUUCAGUGUGUGAGAAUGAAAGGAAGGAGCUGGGCAUCAGUGAUACUCUUAUUCGUCUGUCUGUGGGCCUGGAGGAUGAGGAGGAUAUUAUUGCUGAUAUUGAACAAGCUCUAAGUGCUGCUCAUCCAAAGAAAUAAGAGUCAAAUCAAGAUAGUCCUGGACAACAGUGAUCCCACAUCUGGACCGAGACCAGGACACCUUUUUGGGCACAUUAUUAAUUUACUUAAGCAUAUUACAGUUAUGCUUGGAAAAAAUUUAAAUCAUUGAUUUGAUUGUGUCAGAAAACAAAUAUGCUCAACAAACUAUUUUAUGAAUCAGCUCAUUUGCCAUGUUUUCAUUCAAAAUACUGGAGAUACUCAAAAAAUUUUUUAUUCUGAAUUACCUUUUUCUGCUUUUGCAUUUGUUUGUUUUUUAUUAUUGCUUGGUGAGGUUUUGGGAUGCUAACCAAGAGAGGCUCCACAAUUAUUACAUUUUAAAUACAGGAAAAUGUCAGGACUGUAAGGGAAUUCAGGCAUCAUGCAAAUAAUUAUUUUUAUUUUAUUCUUUAUAUUAAGAGAGGAAUCAAAAUAUGGUUGAUUCUAAAAAUGGUGCAACAAUAGAUACCUUCAUCAAACAAUGCACAACAAGUAUUUUUAAAGAAAACGCACAGUCACCAUUAAUCAACAUUAAAGUCACAUCUAUUGUUUACAGUUUACAGUAAAUUGAGCUUGGCUAGACACUUGAGCCUUUUCAAUUGUGAAAGAGUCUUACUGAAUAUUUGUCUGUGCUACCAGAUCCAUUAAAAGCCAUUUGUAGA